AUGCAGCCCCGACCCUCACAG
rnacentral:miRNA from 1 species